rnacentral:rRNA from 1 species
CCUACGGGAGGCAGCAGUAGGGAAUCUUCCACAAUGGGCGAAAGCCUGAUGGAGCAACGCCGCGUGAGUGAUGAAGGCCUUCGGGUUGUAAAACUCUGUCAUUCGGGACGAACCGGAGUCUGAGGAAAUGCAGACUCUCUGACGGUACCGGAGGAGGAAGCCCCGGCUAACUACGUGCCAGCAGCCGCGGUAAUACGUAGGGGGCAAGCGUUGUCCGGAUUCACUGGGCGUAAAGCGCGCGCAGGCGGUGAUGUAAGUCUGAGGUGAAAACCCGAAGCUCAACUUCGGGACUGCCUUGGAUACUGCGUCACUUGAGGAUAGGAGAGGCAAGGGGAAUUCCACGUGUAGCGGUGAAAUGCGUAGAGAUGUGGAGGAACACCUGUGGCGAAGGCGCCUUGCUGGCCUAUUUCUGACGCUGAGGCGCGAAAGCGUGGGGAGCAAACAGGAUUAGAUACCCUGGUAGUCCACGCUGUAAACGAUGAGUGCUAGGUGUAGGUGGGCUCAUACCCAUCUGUGCCGAAGCUAACGCAUUAAGCACUCCGCCUGGGGAGUACGGUCGCAGACUGAAACUCAAAGGAUUAGACGG